GAUGAACGCUGGCGGCGUGCCUAAUACUUGCAAGUCGAGCGAACAGAUAAGGAGCUUGCUCCUUUGACGUUAGCGGCGGACGGGUGAGUAACACGUGGGUAACCUACCUAUAAGACUGGAAUAACUCCGGGAAACCGGGGCUAAUGCCGGAUAACAUUUAGAACCGCAUGGUUCUAAAGUGAAAGAUGGUUUUGCUAUCACUUAUAGAUGGACCCGCGCCGUAUUAGCUAGUUGGUAAGGUAACGGCUUACCAAGGCAACGAUACGUAGCCGACCUGAGAGGGUGAUCGGCCACACUGGAACUGAGACACGGUCCAGACUCCUACGGGAGGCAGCAGUAGGGAAUCUUCCGCAAUGGGCGAAAGCCUGACGGAGCAACGCCGCGUGAGUGAUGAAGGUCUUCGGAUCGUAAAACUCUGUUAUUAGGGAAGAACAAAUGUGUAAGUAACUGUGCACGUCUUGACGGUACCUAAUCAGAAAGCCACGGCUAACUACGUG
rnacentral:rRNA from 1 species